UUUAUAAAAACUGAGGACAAAACGCGGAAGAUUUAUGGACCCUCAGGGGUCCAUAAAUCAAAACGCGCUAUGCGCGUUUACAAUAUUACCGUUGAAAUAACCAAAAAGACCGAAAUACCCAGCUAUUUCUCUCACGCCCCUCAUCUCUCAUCUCUGCUCUCCCUUCGCAUUUGACGCCUCCAUCUCUUCUCUCUGCUUGCUCUGCCCUCUUCGUACCAAAAACACUGAUCUGCUACCAAAAACCAGG